rfam:Pteropus alecto contig97360, whole genome shotgun sequence.
GGUUCCAUGGCGUAGCAGUUAGCAUGUUUACUUUACACGCAGAAGGUCCUGGGUUUGCACCUCAGUGGAGCCA